AUGUGUGAUCAGGUCGGCCUGGACCUGGACGGCUUCCCUCUCGACCACGAGUUUCCGGAGGACUACGGGCAAGAGGAAGAGGACGAGUGCGACAUCGAAGGGGAGCCUUUGUUCGAGGACGAGCUCGCCAACCAAGCCGCCGGGGCAAAGUCGAAGCGCAAGAGCAUGCGGAACAAGGCAUACACGACGUCCGAGGACAAGCUUCUUUGCGAGUGUUGGAGAGACACUGGGCAAGACCCCAAGACGGGCGCCGAGCAAAAGCAUUCAACUUUUUGGAUUCGUGUCCACCGUGAGUUCCAUGAGCGCAAGAUUUCCGCCGUACCAAAUAGUAAGCACGCGCGGGUGGGUGUCCGCUUCGAUGUGAUGGAGGAUGAUCCAACAAGAGUGCAACAAGUUUUGUGCCACUUUUGA
rnacentral:rRNA from 1 species